AGGACGAACGCUGGCGGCGUGCUUAACACAUGCAAGUCGAACGAGGCCGGUCCUUUCGGGGACCGAGUCGAGUGGCGGACGGGUGCGUAACACGUGAGUGACCUGACCUUGUGUGGGGGGCAACCCGGGGAAACUCGGGCUAAUACCGCAUAGGCGCAGUGCCUUUCGGGGUGCAGCGUGAAAGCCGGCCUAUCCAUGGAAGCUGGCGCGCAGGGAGGGGCUCGCGGCGUAUCAGCUAGUUGGUGAGGUAACGGCUCACCAAGGCGACGACGCGUAGCGGGUCUGAGAGGACGACCCGCCACAUUGGAACUGAGACACGGUCCAGACUCCUACGGGAGGCAGCAGUGGGAAUAUUGGGCAAUGGCCGCAAGGCUGACCCAGCGACGCCGCGUGCGGGAUGACGCUUUUCGGAGUGUAAACCGCUGUCAGAGGGAAGAAGACCGUUCGAGGUGAAUAAUCUCGAGGCUGACGGUACCUUCAGAGGAAGCACCGGCUAACGCCGUG
rnacentral:rRNA from 1 species